UUCUUUUCAUAUGCUUAUAUUCAGUUAUAUAGUGUUUUUAGUUUAUGCCACUAUUACUGAUUUGGGCAGAAUUUUAAUGUAUUCAGAAUUACCCAUUGUAUUGUGGUUUCUUCAGUUGCUAUUUGAUUGCUCUCACCCAGGGACAAUUCUGCACUUUUAAUUUUUAUUUUGUUUUAAUUGAAUGCUGAUGUUUUUAAUGGACAUAAUGUCUGAAGCUGGAAAGAGUAAGCAGCCGUGUGUGAAAGGUCUCCUCAGCCAAAUGUCUAGAUCCACUGUCGUCAAUGCUUUCUAUGUCCUGUGACGUUUGAGAGACACUUUUCCUGCCCUUUGGUCUUGCUCAUUCUCUUGCUUUGUAUUAGAUCUAUGAAGUUUCCUUCACCAACACUUUAUUAGAUUUUUGUCUCUCUCUUUCUUUCUUUUUUUUACCUUUAUUAUAGAGGCUAAAGUCAGCUUUUUAAAAGGAUCAAGUUUUAUCCUUAUGAUAGAUCUAAAAUUACCAAGCUUGAGUUAUAAACUUAGAUGAGAAUAAAGAAUUGGUAGACGUGCUUACAGUUUAAUCAUCAAUCUCAGUAAUGACCCCCUCCCCCUCCCCCCACCCCUCCUCCUCUUUCAGUGGGCAAAGGCUCCCCUGGGUAUCCCCCUACCCUGGCACUGUCCCCUGAGUGGCUCCACCCAGCAGUGGACUCAGACAGAUACAGACACCUACAGCCAAACAGUGGAUGGAGCUUGGGGAUUCUUAUAGAAGAGUUUGGGGAAGGAUUGUGGGCCCCACAGGGGAUAGAAACUCCAUAGAAAGACCAAGAGAUUCAACUAACCUGGACCCUUGGGACUUUCAGCGAUGGUACCACCAACCAAAGAACAUACAUGGGCACAGAUGUACCAGAUGUGCAGCUCAUACUUCAUGUGGGUUUCUGUGGGCUUUUUAAAAUUCAUAUGUGUAUGUUAUUUAUCCCUAUUCAAUUUUCAGUGUCUAGUGACAGUUUCACUUUUAAACCAUCUAAUAAUGGAAAGGUGUCACUUCUAGGAUGGUGGUUUUUUUUGUUUGUGUCACAGUUAUUUUAGAAGCUUGGACAAGAAGAGUACAGUAUGCUUAUCUAAUUAACAGUAUAACCUUCAUUUAUUGUGUGGUACUAGGGAGCCCAGACCCUUCCUUGGGCUAGACAAGUACAGUACCAGUAGCCCACAUCUCCAAAGUUAACAUGUGCUCCUGACAAUAGGGUAUAGCAGAGAUUUUUUUCAUUUCUGAAAUUUUAAUAUCUUAACUAAUAAGUCUGAUUUGGUAAGUGUUUUAGUUUCUUUUAAUUACUAUAAUAAAACACCCUGAAGAAAAGACAAUAGAAGGGAAAAAACACUUUAUUUUACUUAAAAUCCAAUAUUAUGGGUAAAGGGAGACGAGAACCUCAAAUUGCAAGUCACAUUACAUUUACAAACAAGACAAGAGAAAAAUGUAUGCAUACAGGCUUAUUUGCUUCCUUCCAUUUGCUCAAUUCCUCUACUCUUACAGAGUUCUAAACUCCUUGCCAAGGGAAUAGUGCUGCCUACAGUGGGUUAGACAUUGCCACAUUCAUUAACUUAAUUAAAACAGUCCUCCACAAACAUGCCACAGUCCAACCCAAUGUAGAGAGUCCCUCAUCGAGACUCAUCCUAGAUGAUUCCAGGUUGUAUCAAGAUGACAAUUAAACCUGAUCAUCAUAAUAAAGUGUCCAAAAGAACCGAGUGUGAUAGUUCAUGUCUAGUAUCCCUGCACUUGAGGUGAAGAUCGAGCGUUGAAAGCCAGCCUCAGCUUCAUAAUAUAUCUGAGGCCGUGUUGGGAUGGAUCCCUGUCUCAAAAUAAAUU
rnacentral:lncRNA from 1 species